CCCUUUUAGAUGGAUGAGGCCUCGGUUCACUGAGGGCCCCAGGCAGGAGACGGCCACACCCGGGUAAACACUGCAUUUCUACAACAGCCACCUGUGCAGGCCCUGCAUGCUCUGUAACUUGGGGAUUUGGUCUUCUGAAAAGGGCACCAGAGAAAAACUGCUCUUAAGCCCCUGUUAACUGAAACAGCAGUAGAACUCCAAGGUGUUGAUCCUUGGAUUCAUGUUUUUCAACUUCAGAGAUCACUCAUCACUCCUUCUUGACCACUGGACAUCCAUCCCACCAGGAGCUCCUAAACCAAGAGAUGUUAGAAAUCCUCCAAAAGUGCUGACUGCAGAAGUUGGUAGCUUCUGCUCAAGAUGACAGAACAAGAUUAACUUUUGUACUCUUCAGCACCUUUUUUAUUUUCCAUUAUCACACUUUGAUACCCUCUGAAACAUUAAAACACCUUCUAGAAUGCUUA